AUAUACUCAGAAUCACAUGUUAUACAUGCACAGAUAUACACAGAAUCACAUGUUAUACAUGCAAAGAUAUACACAGAAUCACAUGUUAUACAUGCACAGAUAUACACAGAAUCACGUUAUACAUGCACAGAUAUACUCAGAAGCACAUGUUAUACAUGCACAGAUAUACACAGAAGCACAUGUUAUACAUGCACAGAUAUACACAGAAUCACAUGUUAUACAUGCACAGAUAUACUCAGAAGCACAUGUAAUACAUGCACAGAUAUACACAGAAGCACAUGUUAUACAUGCACAGAUAUACACAGAAUCACAUGUUAUACAUGCACAGAUAUACACAGAAGCACAUGUUAUACAUGCACAGAUAUACACAGAAGCACGUUAUGCAUGCACAGAUAUACACAGAAGCACAUGUUAUACAUGCACAGAUAUACACAGAAUCACAUGUUAUACAUGCACAGAUAUACACAGAAUCACGUUAUACAUGCACAGAUAUACACAGAAUCACAUGUUAUACAUGCACAGAUAUACACAGAAUCACGUUAUACAUGCACAGAUAUACACAGAAUCACAUGUUAUACAUGCACAGAUAUACACAGAAUCACAUGUUAUACAUGCACAGAUAUACACAGAAUCACAUGUUAUACAUGCACAGAUAUACACAGAAUCACAUGUUAUACAUGCACAGAUAUACACAGAAUCACGUUAUACAUGCACAGAUAUACACAGAAUCACAUGUUAUACAUGCACAGAUAUACACAGAAUCACAUGUUAUACAUGCACAGAUAUACACAGAAUCACGUUAUACAUGCACAGAUAUACUCAGAAGCACAUGUUAUACAUGCACAGAUAUACACAGAAUCACGUUAUACAUGCACAGAUAUACACAGAAUCACAUGUUAUACAUGCACAGAUAUACACAGAAUCACGUUAUACAUGCACAGAUAUACACAGAAUCACAUGUUCUACAUGCACAGAUAUACUCAGAAUCACAUGUUAUACAUGCACAGAUAUACACAGAAUCACAUGUUAUACAUGCACAGAUAUACACAGAAUCACAUGUUAUACAUGCACAGAUAUACACAGAAUCACAUGUUAUACAUGCACAGAUAUACACAGAAUCACAUGUUAUACAUGCACAGAUAUACACAGAAUCACGUUAUACAUGCACAGAUAUACACAGAAUCACAUGUUAUACAUGCACAGAUAUACUCAGAAUCACAUGUUAUACAUGCACAGAUAUACACAGAAUCACAUGUUAUACAUGCACAUAUAUACUCAGAAUCACAUGUUAUACAUGCACAGAUAUACACAGAAUCACAUGUUAUACAUGCACAGAUAUACACAGAAUCACAUGUUAUACAUGCACAUAUAUACUCAGAAUCACAUGUUAUACAUGCACAUAUAUACUCAGAAUCACAUGUUAUACAUGCACAUAUAUACUCAGAAUCACAUGUUAUACAUGCACAGAUAUACUCAGAAUCACAUGUUAUACAUGCACAGAUAUACACAGAAUCACAUGUUAUACAUGCACAGAUAUACACAGAAUCACAUGUUAUACAUGCACAGAUAUACUCAGAAUCACAUGUUAUACAUGCACAUAUAUACUCAGAAUCACAUGUUAUACAUGCACAUAUAUACACAGAAUCACAUGUUAUACAUGCACAGAUAUACUCAGAAUCACAUUUGAAAGUGGCUCAAAUAAAGUGAAACUUGAAUUGUUUGAUCGCGGAAACAGAAUCAGUUUGUUCUCAUUUCACUAAUGCUUUUAUUGAAUGUUUGUGCAGAAAACACUCGAGUCAGGAGUGACGAGUUUGCUGAGAAAAAUGGUCUUCCGAAGUUUGAAUAUGUUCUUCACCCCCGCACCACGGGGUUUACCUUCAUUGUUGACAUACUACGCAAAGUGUGUUGCUGCCGUCCAGCAGGUCGACAGUAACGUCUCCAGAGGGCGAGGAGGGGUUCCCGUUACAAACAGACACAGACGUCGCUCCGCCGGGACAGCACGACAGAGUCCUACACGCCGGUGACAGACAGGGGGUGUUACAG